UACGGAGGGGGUUAGCGUUGUUCGGAAUUACUGGGCGUAAAGCGCGCGUAGGCGGACCAGAAAGUUGGGGGUGAAAUCCCGGGGCUCAACCCCGGAACUGCCUCCAAAACUGCUAGUCUAGAGUUCGAGAGAGGUGAGUGGAAUUCCGAGUGUAGAGGUGAAAUUCGUAGAUAUUCGGAGGAACACCAGUGGCGAAGGCGGCUCACUGGCUCGAUACUGACGCUGAGGUGCGAAAGCGUGGGGAGCAAACAGC
rnacentral:rRNA from 1 species